rnacentral:rRNA from 1 species
CCUACGGGGGGCUGCAGUGGGGAAUAUUGGGCAAUGGAGGAAACUCUGACCCAGCAACGCCGCGUGAAUGAUGAAGGUCUUCGGAUUGUAAAGUUCUUUUCUAAGGGAAGAAGAAAGUGACGGUACCUUAGGAAUAAGCCUCGGCUAACUACGUGCCAGCAGCCGCGGUAAUACGUAGGAGGCGAGCGUUAUCCGGAAUGACUGGGCGUAAAGGGUGCGUAGGUGGUUUGGCAAGUUAGUAGCGUAACUCCAAGGCUCAACCUUGGAACUACUACUAAAACUGUUGGACUUGAGUGCAGGAGGGGCAACCGGAAUUCCUAGUGUAGCGGUGGAAUGCGUAGAUAUAAGGAAGAACACCAGUGGCGAAGGCGGAUUACUGGACGAUAACUGACGGUGAGGCGCGAAAGCGUGGGGAGCAAACAGGAUUAGAUACCCUUGUAGUC